rnacentral:rRNA from 1 species
AGAUUGAACGCUGGCGGCAUGCCUUACACAUGCAAGUCGAACGGUAACGCGGGGCAACCUGGCGACGAGUGGCGAACGGGUGAGUAAUGCAUCGGAACGUGCCCAGUAGUGGGGGAUAGCUCGGCGAAAGCCGGAUUAAUACCGCAUACGACCUAAGGGUGAAAGCGGGGGACCGUAAGGCCUCGCGCUAUUGGAGCGGCCGAUGUCAGAUUAGGUUGUUGGUGGGUAAAAGCCUACCAAGCCGACGAUCUGUAGCUGGUCUGAGAGGACGACCAGCCACACUGGGGACUGAGACACGGCCCAGACUCCUACGGGAGGCAGCAGUGGGGAAUUUUGGACAAUGGGGGCAACCCUGAUCCAGCCAUGCCGCGUGCGGGAAGAAGGCCUU